GAUGAACGCUGGCGGCGUGCCUAACACAUGCAAGUCGAGCGGACAGACGAGGCUUUUGCUCGGCUCUCGUGAGGGGCGGGCGUGUGAUACACACGAGUAUCCCGCCCCUGUAUGGGUGACAUCCCUUGGGGAACGCGGAUCUAAUACCGGAGGAGAUAUUGCACCGCGUGGUUCAUUGGAGAUCGUCGGUUUUGCUGGCACUAAUAGAGGGUUCCGGGCCGGAUUAGCUAGUUGUUAGGGUAACGGCCUACCAAGGCUAGUCUGCGUGGCCGACCUGAGAGGGUGAUCGGCCACACUGGAACUGAGACACGGUCCAGACUCCUACGGGAGGGAGCAGUCGGGAAUGUUCGGCAAUGGGCGAAAGCCUGACAGAGCAAGGCCGCGUGUGUGAUGAAGGUCUUCGGAUCGUAAAGCUCUGUUAUUAGGGAAGAACAGAUGUGGAAUUAAACGUGGACGUCUUGACGGUACCGAAUCAAAAAGCACCGGCUAACUACGUG
rnacentral:rRNA from 1 species